GCUGGCGGCGUGCCUAAUACAUGCAAGUAGAACGCUGAAGGAGGAGCUUGCUCCUCUGGAUGAGUUGCGAACGGGUGAGUAACGCGUAGGUAACCUGCCUGGUAGCGGGGGAUAACUAUUGGAAACGAUAGCUAAUACCGCAUAAGAGUAGAUGUUGCAUGACAUUUGCUUAAAAGGUGCAAUUGCAUCACUACCAGAUGGACCUGCGUUGUAUUAGCUAGUUGGUGGGGUAACGGCUCACCAAGGCGACGAUACAUAGCCGACCUGAGAGGGUGAUCGGCCACACUGGGACUGAGACACGGCCCAGACUCCUACGGGAGGCAGCAGUAGGGAAUCUUCGGCAAUGGACGGAAGUCUGACCGAGCAACGCCGCGUGAGUGAAGAAGGUUUUCGGAUCGUAAAGCUCUGUUGUAAGAGAAGAACGAGUGUGAGAGUGGAAAGUUCACACUGUGACGGUAUCUUACCAGAAAGGGACGGCUAACUACGUGCCAGCAGCCGCGGUAAUACGUAGGUCCCGAGCGUUGUCCGGAUUUAUUGGGCGUAAAGCGAGCGCAGGCGGUUAGAUAAGUCUGAAGUUAAAGGCUGUGGCUUAACCAUAGUACGCUUUGGAAACUGUUUAACUUGAGUGCAAGAGGGGAGAGUGGAAUUCCAUGUGUAGCGGUGAAAUGCGUAGAUAUAUGGAGGAACACCGGUGGCGAAAGCGGCUCUCUGGCUUGUAACUGACGCUGAGGCUC
rnacentral:rRNA from 1 species